rnacentral:rRNA from 1 species
GACAGAGGCCUCAAGCGUUUAGGCGGAAUCACUGGGCUUAAAGCGUGUGUAGGCGGAUCGUUAAGUGUCUUGUGAAAUCCCACGGCUCACCCGUGGAACUGCUGGGCAUACUGGCGAUCUUGGGCCAACUAGGGGCAACUGGAACAAGCGGUGGAGCGGUGAAAUGCGUAGAUAUCGCUUGGAACGCCAAAGGUGAAAGCAGUGUCUGGGGUUGUGCCGACGCUGAGACACGAAAGCCAGGGGAGCAAACGGG